AGAAGUUGGGUUCUUGCAAGGAAGAGAAUCUGAGGAUGAAAAUCUGCUCCAAGCCCGGCUCUGCCUUCACUUCUGAUGGUGUCCACAGUGGGAUUUUCUGCAACUGCUUCUUCGAAUCUGCUCCAUUUGCGAGUCACCUCCACAGCCU